rnacentral:rRNA from 1 species
GAUGAACGCUGACAGAAUGCUUAACACAUCAGCAAUUGAUUGGUGGCGGACGGGUGAGUAACGCGUAAAGAACUUGCCUCACAGCUAGGGACAACAUUUGGAAACGAAUGCUAGUACCUAAUACUGUGAGAGAGCUUUGCGUCCCAUUAGCUAGUUGGAGAGGUAACGGCUCACCAAGGCGAUGAUGGGUAGCCGGCCUGAGAGGGUGAUCGGCCACAAGGGGACUGAGACACGGCCCUUACUCCUACGGGAGGCAGCAGUGGGGAAUUAUGGAACAAGGGCCAAAGUUCGAUCCAGGCAUUCUGUGUGCAACAUUAAGUUUUCGGAAUGUAAAGUGCUUUCAGUUGGGAAGCGGUACCAACAGAAGAAGUGACGGCUAAAUACGUGCCAGCAGCCGCGGUAAUUC